rnacentral:rRNA from 1 species
UGAACGCUAGCGGCAGGCUUAACACAUGCAAGUCGAGGGGCAGCGCGAGUAGCAAUACUUGGCGGCGACCGGCGCAAGGGUGCGUAACGCGUGAGCAACAUGCCCGUAUCAGGGGGAUAAUCCAGGGAAACUUGGUCUAAUACCCCAUAGUAAUUUUGUAAGGCAUCUUAUAAGAUUUAAAGCUUUGGUGGAUACGGAUUGGCUCGCGUGACAUUAGCUGGAUGGUAAGGUAACGGCUUACCAUGGCUAUGAUGUCUAGGGGUUCUGAGAGGAGGUCCCCCCACACUGGAACUGAGACACGGUCCAGACUCCUACGGGAGGCAGCAGUGAGGAAUAUUGGACAAUGGAUGGAAAUCUGAUCCAGCCAUGCCGCGUGAAGGAAGAAAGGUCCUAUGGAUUGUAAACUUCUUUUGUAUGGGAGCAAUAAGGCCUACGAGUAGGUUGAUGAGAGUACCAUACGAAUAAGCACCGGCUAACUCCGUGCCAGCAGCUGC